rnacentral:rRNA from 1 species
AUUGAACGCUGGCGGCAGGCCUAACACAUGCAAGUCGAGCGAGCGGCGGACGUGUGAGUAAUGUAUGGGGAUCUGGCCGAUAGAUGGGGAUAACUACGGGUAACAGUGUCUACUACCGCAUACUCUCCGAUGACCCCAUACGGGAUUAGAUAGUGGGUGGGGUAAAGGCUCAACUAGCGACGAUCGCUAGCUGGUCUGAGAGGAUGAUCAGCCACACGUGAACUGAGAAACGGACCAGACUCCUACGGGAGGCAGCAGUGGGGAAUAUUGCGCAAUGGGGGCAACCCUGACGCAGCCAUGCCGCGUGAAUGAAGAAGGCAUUCGGGUUGUAAAGUACUUUCGGUAGCGAGGCGUUAGCUACAGAAGAAGCACCGGCUAACGCCGUGCUAGCAGCCGCGGUAAUAC